CGAGCAUCUCUAGUUGGAAAGUUCCUUCUGCCCAAAUGGCUCUCUCAGUGGAGUGGCACAAGCUGAAUUCACGUGGCAGACACGAGUAUUUAGAAUAAUUCCGGAUAAAUAGCUCCGUGACCCGGGGCCCCACUGCUGUCCCAGAGGCGCCCAACGCUC